rnacentral:rRNA from 1 species
AUUGAACGCUGGCGGCAGGCCUAACACAUGCAAGUCGAGCGAGCGGCGGACGGGUGAGUAAUGUAUGGGGACUGCCCGAUAGAGGGGAAUAACUACUGGAAACGGUAGCUAAUACCGCAUACUCACGGCUAACCCAUAUGGGAUUAGCUAGUAGGUGAGGUAAUGGCCCACCUAGGCGACGAUCACUAGCUGGUCUGAGAGGAUGAUCAGCCACACGUGGACUGAGAAACGGCCCAGGCUCCAACGGAGGCAGCAGUGGGGAAGAUUGCACAAUGGGCGCAAGCCUGAUGCAGCCAUGCCGCGUGUAUGAAGAAGGCCCUAGGGUUGUAAAGUACUUUCAGUCGGGAGGCGUUACCGACAGAAGAAGCACCGGCUAACUCCGUGCCAGCAGCCGCGGUAAUAC